rnacentral:rRNA from 1 species
AGAGUUUGAUCCUGGCUCAGGAUGAACGCUGGCGGCGUGCCUAAUACAUGCAAGUCGAGCGAACGGACGAGAAGCUUGCUUCUCUGAUGUUAGCGGCGGACGGGUGAGUAACACGUGGAUAACCUACCUAUAAGACUGGGAUAACUUCGGGAAACCGGAGCUAAUACCGGAUAAUAUUUUGAACCGCAUGGUUCAAAAGUGAAAGACGGUCUUGCUGUCACUUAUAGAUGGAUCCGCGCUGCAUUAGCUAGUUGGUAAGGUAACGGCUUACCAAGGCAACGAUGCAUAGCCGACCUGAGAGGGUGAUCGGCCACACUGGAACUGAGACACGGUCCAGACUCCUACGGGAGGCAGCAGUAGGGAAUCUUCCGCAAUGGGCGAAAGCCUGACGGAGCAACGCCGCGUGAGUGAUGAAGGUCUUCGGAUCGUAAAACUCUGUUAUUAGGGAAGAACAUAUGUGUAAGUAACUGUGCACAUCUUGACGGUACCUAAUCAGAAAGCCACGGCUAACUACGUGCCAGCAGCCGCGGUAAUACGUAGGUGGCAAGCGUUAUCCGGAAUUAUUGGGCGUAAAGCGCGCGUAGGCGGUUUUUUAAGUCUGAUGUGAAAGCCCACGGCUCAACCGUGGAGGGUCAUUGGAAACUGGAAAACUUGAGUGCAGAAGAGGAAAGUGGAAUUCCAUGUGUAGCGGUGAAAUGCGCAGAGAUAUGGAGGAACACCAGUGGCGAAGGCGACUUUCUGGUCUGUAACUGACGCUGAUGUGCGAAAGCGUGGGGAUCAAACAGGAUUAGAUACCCUGGUAGUCCACGCCGUAAACGAUGAGUGCUAAGUGUUAGGGGGUUUCCGCCCCUUAGUGCUGCAGCUAACGCAUUAAGCACUCCGCCUGGGGAGUACGACCGCAAGGUUGAAACUCAAAGGAAUUGACGGGGACCCGCACAAGCGGUGGAGCAUGUGGUUUAAUUCGAAGCAACGCGAAGAACCUUACCAAAUCUUGACAU